GAGCUCCGUGCGCGACCUGGCGCCCGCCGCGCUCGGCGCCUGCGCGCACUUCGAGGAGCGCCAGGUGGGCGGCGAGCGCUACAACUUCUUCACCGGUUACGUGAAAGAAAACGCUCCUGACGGUGAGAAAUAAAACAUUUGUGCUACAGAAAUAGUAACUUGAAAAGUAUCUCAGUAUUAAACUGUAGAUUAGAGUAAUUUUUUAGUAAUAAAGUUGAGCUAAGU